rnacentral:rRNA from 1 species
UACGGAGGAUCCGAGCGUUAUCCGGAUUUAUUGGGUUUAAAGGGUGCGCAGGCGGAAGAUUAAGUCGGUGGUGAAAUUUUGCAGCUCAACUGUAAAAGUGCCUUCGAAACUGGUUUCCUUGAGUGUAGAUGAAGUAGGCGGAAUUUGUGGUGUAGCGGUGAAAUGCAUAGAUAUCACGAGGAACUCCGAUUGCGCAGGCAGCUUACUAAACUACUACUGACGCUCAGGCACGAAGGCGUGGGGAUCAAACAGGAUUAGAUACCCGGGUAGUCCCU